rnacentral:rRNA from 1 species
UCGAGAAUCUUCGGCAAUGGGCGCAAGCCUGACCGAGCGACGCCGCGUGCGGGAUGAAGGCCUUCGGGUUGUAAACCGCUGUCAGAGGGGAUGAACGGCAUGAGGGCUAUCUCUCAUGUUUGACAUAGCCUCAGAGGAAGCACGGGCUAAGUUCGUGCCAGCAGCCGCGGUAACACGAACCGUGCUAACGUUGUUCGGAAUCACUGGGCUUAAAGGGCGCGUAGGCGGCGUGUUCAGUCAGUGGUGAAAUCCUACGGCUCAACCGUAGAACUGCCGCUGAUACUGGCAUGCUGGAGUGAGGUAGGGGUGUGUGGAACUUCCGGUGGAGCGGUGAAAUGCGUUGAUAUCGGAAGGAACGCCGGUGGCGAAAGCGACACACUGGACCUCAACUGACGCUGAGGCGCGAAAGCUAGGGUAGCGAACGGGAUUAGAUACCCCCGUAGUCC